UAGCUUUAAAAAGAAAAAAAAAAAAAAAAAAAAAAAAAAAAAAAAAAAAAAAAAAAAAAAAAAAAAAAAAAAAAAAAAAAAAAAAAAAAAAAAAAAAAAAAAAAAAAAAAUAACGAUUUUUUAAGACUUUGACAGACGGCAUAUAAUCAUACAUGUAAAAGAUUUAUUAAAAGAAAAUUAGAGUUUAGUGGGCAAAAUGUGUUAAGUCAUUUAAAUGGAUGACUGACGGAUGGACAGAAGUACAAUUGUAUACCAUAGUACGUCCCGUAAACAGACAGGGGAUGUAAGCAACUAUAGGUCACUAUACAACCUUCAACAAUGAGCAAAACUCACACUGUACUUGUCAUGAUAUAACUAAGUACAAUCAAUAAGGGAGAAGGUUUGGUACCAUUUAAACGUUUAAUCCCACUGAAUUGUUUGCACCUUUAAGUGAUACUUGUAAAAUAUCUGCCUUUAUC
rnacentral:lncRNA from 1 species